AUUGAACGCUGGCGGCAGGCCUAACACAUGCAAGUCGAGCGGACUGAGGUAGCUUGCUACCAAGGUUAGCGGCGGACGGGUGAGUAACGCGUAGGAAUCUACCUGGUAAUGGGGGAUAACGUUCCGAAAGGAACGCUAAUACCGCAUACGCCCUAAGGGGGAAAGUGGGGGACCUUCGGGCCUCACGUUAUCAGAUGAGCCUGCGUAGGAUUAGCUAGUUGGUAGGGUAAAGGCCUACCAAGGCGACGAUCCUUAACUGGUCUGAGAGGAUGAUCAGUCACACUGGAACUGAGACACGGUCCAGACGCCUACGGGAGGCAGCAGUGGGGAAUAUUGGACAAUGGGGGCAACCCUGAUCCAGCCAUGCCGCGUGUGUGAAGAAGGCCUUCGGGUUGUAAAGCACUUUCGGUCAGAAAGAAGGGUGUCAAAUUAAUACUUUGGCAUUUUGACGGUACUGACAUAAGAAGCACCGGCUAACUCCGUGCCAGCAGCCGCAGUAA
rnacentral:rRNA from 1 species